rnacentral:lncRNA from 1 species
GGAUGCCUGAGAACAGCUUCAGGACUACUCCUACAAUUAAUCAAGAUGGAGUCUCGCUCUGUCACCCAGGCUGGAGUGCAAUGGUGCAAUCUCGACUCACUGCAACCUCUGCCUCCCGGAUUCAAUCGAUUCUCAUGCCUCAGCCUCCCGAGUAUCUGGGACUACAGGUGCCCAUCACCAUGCCCGGCUAAUUUAUGUAUUUUUAGUAGAGAUGUUGAGACCAUGUUGGCCAGGCUGGUCUUGAACUCCUGACCUCAAGUGAUCCACCUGCCUCAGCUUCCCAAAGUGCUAGGAUUACAGGCAUGAGCCACUGUGCUCGGCCUAAAAAUAGUUUUAAAAGUACACUGUUGAAGAAAAACUCUUAAUAAAGACAUGAAUUUUUGUAACAGCAUAUGAUAUGAACACAGUUUGCAGAAUGAAUACAUUUUCUUCAGAGUUUAAAACUCUUCAGUCAUUAUCUCUUUGUUCACGUGGUCACAAAGCAUUCUAUUGGCCACAACUAAACCAGUUCCUUCUUUUUAAAAAUAAUACAGAUGGACCUCUUUGGGGGAUGGUUUUAAUAUUGCCUGUCUGCCAGGAAGGAGACUCCUCAAGGUCUCCUUUGUCCUUCUGAUUCAAGAUGAAUUAUUUUUUUCUAGAAUCUUUUAAUUCAAUUAUUCCAGAAGUAAAUUACUUUAUAUUAACAAAUAGAAACACAACAAACAAACACCAAGUUCUCCUUCGUUGCUUUGAAAAUUUUUUUCUCCCAGUUACACGGAAGGAUCUCUAGUUCUUUCUGAUACACAGUACAAAGAUUCACAUGGCCUAGCUUCACGUCCCUUUAUUAUUUCAUAGACUUCAGUAAAUUCUGCUCCUAUUCUUCUUCUUUUGAGAUUUAUUAAUACCAGCUUUUAGUCAUCUGUAAACCCAUACAGGCUGGCUGCAAGCAUUCCUGUUACCCUGGUCUGGAGCUUUUCAAUCUGUUAUAUGUCUUUUGGGGUGAAAGGUUCACAUCUAUAAUAUUUCUGUUUUGUUCAUGCUGAUGCAAUAGAAUUUUAUAACAUACAACAAAGAGCUAGAAUCUGAACACCAGCAUAUGUAAAAUUAUGUUAAGAGAAAAGGGCAAAUCCCAGGACCACUGUAAGAGGCAGAGUCUAAGAGGCCCCAUUCUCGAGCCAUCUAUCUCAUGGGAGUACUUUUCCAAUUAAUUGGAAUAAUAUGUCACUGAAAUUGAACAACAGAAAUCAUCUUUGCUCUCUAAAACCAUGAAAAUUAGAUAUUUUGUACAAAAAGUAAGUAAAAAGGAGGCUUGUUAAUUAACAAUUUAGCAGAAUCAUUUCAAG